GAUCCUGGCUCAGGAUGAACGCUAGCUACAGGCUUAACACAUGCAAGUCGAGGGGCAGCAUGAACUUAGCUUGCUAAGUUUGAUGGCGACCGGCGCACGGGUGAGUAACACGUAUCCAACCUGCCGAUGACUCGGGGAUAGCCUUUCGAAAGAAAGAUUAAUACCCGAUGGCAUAGUUCUUCCGCAUGGUAGAACUAUUAAAGAAUUUCGGUCAUCGAUGGGGAUGCGUUCCAUUAGGUUGUUGGCGGGGUAACGGCCCACCAAGCCUUCGAUGGAUAGGGGUUCUGAGAGGAAGGUCCCCCACAUUGGAACUGAGACACGGUCCAAACUCCUACGGGAGGCAGCAGUGAGGAAUAUUGGUCAAUGGACGAGAGUCUGAACCAGCCAAGUAGCGUGAAGGAUGACUGCCCUAUGGGUUGUAAACUUCUUUUAUACGGGAAUAAAGUGAGGCAUGUGUGCCUUUUUGUAUGUACCGUAUGAAUAAGGAUCGGCUAACUCCGUG
rnacentral:rRNA from 1 species